rnacentral:rRNA from 1 species
CCUACGGGUGGCAGCAGUGAGGAAUAUUGGUCAAUGGACGAGAGUCUGAACCAGCCAAGUAGCGUGAAGGAUGACUGCCCUCUGGGUUGUAAACUUCUUUUAUAUGGGAAUAAAAUGUUCCACGUGUGGGAUUUUGUAUGUACCAUAUGAAUAAGGAUCGGCUAACUCCGUGCCAGCAGCCGCGGUAAUACGGAGGAACCGAGCGUUAUCCGGAUUUAUUGGGUUUAAAGGGAGCGUAGGUGGAUUGUUAAGUCAGUUGUGAAAGUUUGCGGCUCAACCGUAAAAUUGCAGUUGAAACUGGCAGUCUUGAGUACAGUAGAGGUGGGCGGAAUUCGUGGUGUAGCGGUGAAAUGCUUAGAUAUCACGAAGAACUCCGAUUGCGAAGGCAGUUCACUGGACUGCAACUGACACUGAGGCUCGAAAGUGUGGGUAUCAAACAGGAUUAGAUACCCUAGUAGUC